UCCUUGAAGCCUUUGCACUACAUUACCCAGGACAACUUGCGUUAAGGCAGCAACGUUGAUCCAAUGAAAAUCCAGAAAGGGUGCAUUUCCGGGAGGGCGAACCUCCGGGAGAGGGCCGUCUUCGUGGCGGACAUUUUGAUUGCUGUGGAGUCUGAGGAGCUCGUCAGAAAGUCGAGGGCAGUGUGACCUUUGAGGAUGUUGCCGUGUUCUUCUCCUGGGAGGAAUGGUGUCUUCUUGAUGAGGUUCAGAUACACCUAUACCUUGAUGUCAUGCUGGAGAACUUUGCAGUUAUAUGCAUGCUGGGUUCUUGGUGUGGAGUCAAGCAUGAAUAGAACAUAUCUGAGGAUGGAGUGUCAACAGGGCUUCCCUGGUGGCGCAGUGGUUGAGAAUCUGCCUGCUAAUGCAGGAGACACGGGUUCGAGCCCUGGUCUGGGAAGAUCCCACAUGCCACGGAGCAGCUGGGCCCGUGAGCCACAGCUGCUGAGCCUGCGCGUCUGAAGCCUGUGCCCCGCAACGGGAGGGGCCGCGAUAGUGAAAGGCCCGCGCACCGCGAUGAAGAGCGGUCCCCGCACCGCGAUGAAGAGUGGCCCCCACUUGCCGCAACUAGAGAAAGCCCUCGCACGAACCGAAGACCCAGC